rnacentral:rRNA from 1 species
AUUGAACGCUAGCGGGAUGCCUUAUACAUGCAAGUCGAACGGAGUGGCGAACGGGUGAGUAAUGUAUAGGAACGUGCCCAGUAGCUGGGGCUAACUACGCGAAAGCGUAGCUAAUACCGCAUACUAUUGGAGCGGCCGAUAUCGGAUUAGCUAGUCGGUGGGGUAACGUCUAACCAGGGCGACGAUCCGUAGCUGGUGUGCGAGGACGACCAGCCACACGGGGAAUGAGACACGGCCCAGACUCCUACGGGAGGCAGCAGUGGGGAAUUUUGGACAAUGGGGGAAACCCUGAUCCAGCCAUCCCGCGUGUGCGAUGAAGGCCUUCGGAUUGUAAAGCACUUUUGGCAGGAAAGCGGUACCUGCAGAAUAAGCACCGGCUAACUACGUGCCAGCCGCCGCGGUAAUUC